UGGGGAAUAUUGCACAAUGGGCGAAAGCCUGAUGCAGCAACGCCGCGUGAGUGAUGAAGGCCUUCGGGUUGUAAAGCUCUGUCUUUUGGGACGAUAAUGACGGUACCAAAGGAGGAAGCCACGGCUAACUACGUGCCAGCAGCCGCGGUAAUACGUAGGUGGCAAGCGUUGUCCGGAUUUACCGGGCGUAAAGGAUGCGUAGGCGGAUUUUUAAGUGAGAUGUGAAAUACCCGGGCUUAACUUGGGUGCUGCAUUUCAAACUGGGAAUCUAGAGUGCGGGAGAGGAGAAUGGAAUUCCUAGUGUAGCGGUGAAAUGCGUAGAGAUUAGGAAGAACACCAGUGGCGAAGGCGAUUCUCUGGACCGUAACUGACGCUGAGGCAUGAAAGCGUGGGUAGCAAACAGGAUUAGAUACCCUGGUAGUCCACGCCGUAAACGAUGAGUACUAGGUGUAGGAGGUAUCGACCCCUUCUGUGCCGCAGUUAACACAAUAAGUACUCCGCCUGGGAAGUACGAUCGCAAGAUU
rnacentral:rRNA from 1 species